AACGGUCUAUACCUGCGGUACCUGCGGAAGGAUCAUUACCGAGUUUACAACUCCCAAACCCCUGUGAACAUACCACUUGUUGCCUCGGCGGAUCAGCCCGCUCCCGGUAAAACGGGACGGCCCGCCAGAGGACCCCUAAACUCUGUUUCUAUAUGUAACUUCUGAGUAAAACCAUAAAUAAAUCAAAACUUUCAGCAACGGAUCUCU
rnacentral:misc_RNA from 1 species